GACGAACGCCGGCGGCGCGCUUAACACAUGCAAGUCGAACGGUAAGGCCCUUCGGGGUACACGAGUGGCGAACGGGUGAGUAACACGUGGGUGAUCUGCCCUGCACUUCGGGAUAAGCCUGGGAAACUGGGUCUAAUACCGGAUAGGACUCCUGGCUUCAUGGUUGGGGGUGGAAAGCUUUUGCGGUGUGGGAUGGGCCCGCGGCCUAUCAGCUUGUUGGUGGGGUAAUGGCCUACCAAGGCGACGACGGGUAGCCGGCCUGAGAGGGUGACCGGUCACACUGGGACUGAGGUACGGCCCAGACUCCUACGGGAGGCAGCAGUGGGGAAUAUUGCACAAUGGGCGCAAGCCUGAUGCAGCGACGCCGCGUGAGGGAUGACGGCCUUCGGGUUGUAAACCUCUUUCAGCUAUGACGAAGCGCAAGUGACGGUAGUAGCAGAAGAAGGACCGGCCAACUACGUGCCAGCAGCCGCCGCAG
rnacentral:rRNA from 1 species